rnacentral:rRNA from 1 species
CGUGUCGUGAGAUGUUGGGUUAAGUCCCGCAACGAGCGCAACCCUCACCUCUUGUUGCCACCAGGUCAUGCUGGGCACUCUGGAGGAACUGCCCCGGUCAACGGGGAGGAAAGCGGGGAUGACGUCAAGUCAUCAUGCCCCUUACGCCCUGGGCUACACACGUGCUACAAUGGCCGGUACAAAGGGAUGCAAUACCGCGAGGUGAAGCUAGACCCAGAAAGCCAGUCUAAGUUCAGAUUGGAGUCUGCAACUCGACUCCAUGAAGGAGGAAUCGCUAGUAAUCGC